AUGCUUGCUUCGGCAGCACAUACAUUAAAAUUGGAACAAUACAGAGGAGAUUAGCACGGCCCCUAUGCAAGGAUGAUACGCAAAUUCGUGAAGCAUUCUGUAUUUUU